rnacentral:rRNA from 1 species
CGCCCCACAAGCGAGGAACAUGUUUAUUUUUCGAAGCAACGAGAAGCACCUCACGUUGUCUCCACAUAGGGACGCCCGUUAAAGAGAUUCUUCUUUUUUUGAGGCCAUAAACCACAGGUGGCGCAUGGUUGUCAUCAGCUCGUGUCGAGAGAUGGGGGGAUAUCUCCCACAAAGAGCACCCCCUUUAUUAUUAGUCCCCAUCUUUCGGUGGGACUCAUGAGAGGCUGCCGCAGACAAAGCGGAGGAAGGGGGGGAAGACGUCAAAUCAUCAUGCCCCUUAUGACCUGGGGUACCCACGUAGUACAAUGGGAGGUAAUAGAGGGAAGCGAGAUGGCGAGAGCGAGCAAAUCUGAGAAACACUGUCUCAGUUCGGAUCGUAGGCUGCAACUCGCCUACGUGAAGUCGGAAUCGCUAGUAAUCGCAGGUCAGCAUACUGCGGUGAAUACGUUCCCGGGCCUUGUACACACCGCCCGUCACACCACGAAAGUCGGAAGCGCCCAAAGCCGGUGGGGUAAC